rnacentral:tRNA from 1 species
CUGGGGUUAUUGCUCAGUGAUAGAGCACUUGCCUAGAAUGCGUGAUGCACUGGGUUCGAUUCUCAGACUGCAUA